rnacentral:rRNA from 1 species
AUGCUGGUGUUGUGUAAAGAUUUAUGCCCUCAUGAUGUUUACAUGUGUUUGUUGAUUGGUUUUUACAAGCAAGAGCUGCUAGGAACCUAUGGGUUGGAGGAAUUAGUCUGUCUAUCUCAAAGAAGGAGGUAUAGGAAGAGUUCCAAAAGUUUGGAAAGAUUCAAGGUGUUGCAUUCUCCCAUGAUCAAACUUCUGCAUACAUCGACUUUGAGAAGCUGGAAGUUGCCAGUUUUUAUCAUAGAGCCUUUAAUGGGGACAGAUUUAGGGGGCAAGGAAUUGUGUGUUGAUUUCUGGAGGUCCAGAGGAAGAGCGGUAUGCAUCUAUUAUUGUUGA